rnacentral:tRNA from 1 species
GGGCGAUUAGCUCAGUUGGUUAGAGCACCAGCUCGACAAGCUGGGGGUCACAGGUUCGAAUCCUGUAUCGCCCA